AAUAAUAAGUGUGAAGUUUGAUUUCCUCCCUUCUGUAAUAAGCAGCCAAUGAGUUCUCACGGAAGGUGAUAAUUCUCACUAAAACUACAGAAUAAAGCCGCCAGUUAAAAUCAAGGAACGGUUGUGCUCGUGGUGACUGAAGGGAGCUACACGACCAUUAUCCGUUUCGAAUUCACCAACUCAAAGACGCUUGCCCGCUCCAUCAUAACUCCGGCGACUGACCCGGAGACAGAGAGCUGCCGAAGCGCCUCCCCUUCCCCCAGGCGAUCCUUCUCCAUCUUGAGGCGCUCCCUCUCCACCUGCAGGCGCUCUGUCUCCACCCUCAAGCGCUCUCUAUCCAGCUGGAGCCGGUUCUUCUCCACAUCCAGGAUUUGUUGGAGAAGAUUGGCUUGGGGGCCUUGUGGUGUCCAGCCAGACGUGAUGGGUUGGGGUGUAGAGUCAGAGUGGAUGGAAUGAGCUGGUGCAGGACAGGAGGUGAUGGGUUGGGGAACAAAGCCAGAGUGGAUGGAAUGAGCUGGUGCAGGACAGGAGGUGAUGGGUUGGGGAACAAAGCCAGAGUGGAUGGAAUGAGCUGGUGCAGGACGGGAGGUGAUGGGUUGGGGUGCGGUGCCAGACUGGAUUGAGUGAGCUGGUGCAGGACAGGAGGUGAUGGGUUUGGGUGAGGUGCCAGAGAGUGCAUCUGCGUUGCUCACUCUUUGGGGUUUCAGGCUGGGUAUCUGUAAAGCACUCUGUGACAACUGCUGAUGUAAAAAGGGCUUUAUAAAAUAAAUUUGAUUCAUUGAUUGAGAGUGGAUUGAGUGAGCUGGUGGUGCAGGACGGGAGGUGAUGGGUUGGGGUGUAGAGCCAGAGUGGAUUGAGUGAGCUGGUGCAGGACGGGAAGUGAUGGGUUGGGGAGCAGAGCCAGAGUGAGCUGGUGCAUGAUGGGAGAUGAUGGGUUGGGGAGCAGAGCCAGAGUGAGCUGGUGCAGGACGGGAGGUGAUGGGUUGGGGUGGCCCUGUUGGUGCUGGCCAAGGUGUUGAUGGUGAGGUGGAGGGUUGCUCCUCCACGGUGACAGAGGGUAAAGCUGACUCCACAGUUCCCUCUGCUGCUGUUGGGGGACCAGAGCUGGAGAUUUCUCCCUGACAGGGACCUGGACAAGACGGAUUCGGUCAAUAUUAUUUCAGAUAUUUUAUAUUAUUUAUCACUUCUUGUUGAAAUUAUUUAUUUUAAAUUGUCAUGUUUUCCGUUGGUAAACCAUUGUGGUUAUGUUUUUUUAAUCCAAAUAAAGAAUACACUUAAAUUA